UACAGAGGGUGCGAGCGUUAAUCGGAAUUACUGGGCGUAAAGGGCGCGUAGGUGAUUAAUUAAGUCAGAUGUGAAAUCCCUGGGCUCAACCCAGGAACUGCACCUGAAACUACCAGUCUUGAGUGGUGGAGAGGGAAGUGGAAUUCCUGGUGUAGAGGUGAAAUUCGUAGAUAUCAGGAGGAACACCAGUGGCGAAGGCGGCUUCCUGGACACCAACUGACGCUGAGACGCGAAAGCGUGGGGAGCAAACAGG
rnacentral:rRNA from 1 species